GACGAACGCUGGCGGCGUGCUUAACACAUGCAAGUCGAACGGAAAGGCCCUGCUUUUGUGGGGUGCUCGAGUGGCGAACGGGUGAGUAACACGUGAGUAACCUGCCCUUGACUUUGGGAUAACUUCAGGAAACUGGGGCUAAUACCGGAUAGGAGCUCCUGCUGCAUGGUGGGGGUUGGAAAGUUUCGGCGGUUGGGGAUGGACUCGCGGCUUAUCAGCUUGUUGGUGGGGUAGUGGCUUACCAAGGCUUUGACGGGUAGCCGGCCUGAGAGGGUGACCGGCCACAUUGGGACUGAGAUACGGCCCAGACUCCUACGGGAGGCAGCAGUGGGGAAUAUCGCACAAUGGGCGGAAGCCUGAUGCAGCAACGCCGCGUGCGGGAUGACGGCCUUCGGGUUGUAAACCGCUUUCGCCUGUGACGAAGCGUGAGUGACGGUAAUGGGUAAAGAAGCACCAGCUAACUACGUG
rnacentral:rRNA from 1 species